AGCAGCCCCAGACGGGCUGGGGUUUGCAGUAGGCGUCCAGACAUAAAUUUCCAGCCCCUCGCCACUUCCCGCCUGCGUCUCGCCCGGGCGCGGCGGGGAGCGAGGGAGGGGCGGGGCUGAGAAUCAGUGCGACUGCACACGGAGGGACGGGACCGCAGGAGUCCUAGCUGGUUCCCAGGUGUUGAUUUAAAAAAAAGUCCUGAAAAACAUCCUGCACAUUAAUAUGUAUCUCAAGUCUGCAUCCUGGGGAACCCAACCUGUGAUAGCCGUCAUCAUGAAAGAGGAGAAAAUCACUGGAAUGGGAUUUUUGGAUCUAGAUUUUGAGCUGUUUGGUGGUAAUGAGGAUCCCAUCACUGGUGCGUUCUCUAGGAAUCCUGCAAAAGCUUCUCCCAGAGUUUAAACAAAGAGGUGGAUCUGAGCAGUGCAAGAGAUGAAAUGCAUUGGAUGUACGUCCCAGAUACUCCUUUAGAGCUGAAGGACUAAAUUCCUCUUGCUGGGAAAGCUCUUGGGAAGGUGGCUCUCAAUCAUCAGCCCGUUCAUGGAAUUGUCUUGACUGAGGAAACUUCUUGCUAAAGGUAUUGAUCCUAAACCCUUGCCCUAGGAAAAAUCCUGUAUGCUAAUCUGCAUCUCAGAGAUAACUUCCAUGGGAAUACCAUCAAAAUGGAAUCAAGAUUGAAAGGUGUGGUGCUGAUAGCCACCUGAUCUCUGAGGGAAGCUGUGGAUAGACUGCUGUUCAGACACGUCCUCCUCAAUUCACUGGGAAUGCCCUCCUUAGUGCACACUCUGCAAACUGAUGCCAAAGUACUUUUUUUACUUUAUAGCAUGACUCACAAAAUAUGUGUUGAUCAAAUGACAAUCAUUUUCACUUGGAGUGUGAGUUUUCAGUGAUAAACAAUUAGUAAACUAUAUCUAAGUGAAAAAGAGAAGGUAGACGUGUGGCACACUAUAUCUAAGUGAAAAAGAGAAGGUAGACGUGUGGCACAGGCCUGUAAUCUCAGCUACUCAAGAGGCUGAGGAAGGAGGAUCACAAGUUUGAGUCAAUUUAGUAGGAGACCCUGUCUCAAAUAAAAUAAAAUAGGGUGGGGGAAUGUAGCGCAGAGCAUUGCCUACCAUGUGGUUCAAUCCCUAGUAAAACACACAUGUUACUUAUUUUUUACCACAAUUUAAAAAAAAUCAAUGUGAUAUAAAAAACAAGACAAAACAAUAUAUCAUAACAAAAUCAUUGACUUAUACACUUUAUGUGGAUGAAUUGUGUGCUAUGUAAGUUAUAUUUCAAUAAGGUCAUAUAUUUAUUUAUUGUUUUGGUACUAGAGAUUGAACCAAGGGGCACUUAAGCACUGAGUCACAUCCUCAUUCCUUUUUAUUUUUAUUUUGAGACAGGUUUUUACUAAGUUAUUGAGGGCCUUGCGAAGUUGCUGAGGCUGGCUUUGAACUUGUGAUCCUCCUGCCUCAGACUCCCAGGGUGCUGGGAUUACAGGUAUGUGCCACCAUGCCAGGCUAAUAAAGCAAUUAAAAAAAAAAGAGAGAGAGACUCUUGAAGUGGAAAAAUCAAAUCUUCUCUUUCAUAUAUGUGCCUCACCAGAGCUGAAUUUUUCCAUAUAUAAAGUAAAAUAUCUACACAGGAACAAUACUACCUUUCUCCCACGUUGUGUACCACAGAUACUA